GUACUACCCGUUUGAUCACAAAUUAUUAAAAGUAGUUUCGUAUUUAUCCCUUAAAUUUCUAACGAAAUUAAAUGUAAGUUUGUAACCGAGUGAGAAAAGAAAAUUGCUUAGAGAAAAAGUGAGAAAAGAAAAUUAAAACAAAAAUAAAACGAUAGAAGCUGGUAAAGGGGGUUAGGGUUUAUCAUAUUUGAAAGCUUUCUUUAUCGCUCCCCGUUUCAAUCUUCGUUUCUUGCUGUCCUCAAAACUGGGAGUAUCCCUCAAUCCGAAGCAGAAGCCUAGAUGAGUGAUUCCAAGGAGAAGAAGAAGGAGAAUGAGGAGAGUGCACAAGAAGACGAGGCUGUGACCAUUGCUUUGCCCAAUCACAAAGCUGCACAAGCUGAUGCACAUGAACACCAUGACUCUUCUGUGGCAGUGGACCAAACCCUGAUUCAGACUUUAAAUGGCACUCCACCUCUCCCUGAAUAUAAUAAGAUUAUGGAACCUUGGUCCAAUCCGGACCAACCAACUCAAGAUUCACCUGACUCCCCAGGCCCUUUAAAUGAUGACAAAGAUUUACUCAAACCUAAUACACAACCCACUUCUGAUGUCAAGAUUGAAGACAAUGACUUGCCUCCAAGCAAUCUAGGCUGUGAACACCACCACAACAACACGUCUUCAUGUCAUGUUGAUACUGCUGGACCAGAUGUUUCAGUUACCAAAGAUGAACCUUGUCAAGUGCGUGAUACCAAACUUGCUGGUGAUGCUGACAUUCUGCCUGCAACUACUACGAUUCAUAAUGAACCUGCUAUGAACUGUGCUAAAGCUUCUGAUAUAAAAUAUCAAAUUCAGAAUGGACGACAAAUCAAUAUGGAGGUGAAUGAAAAAGAUGUUAUUACACCUGUAGAGAAUGGGAACUCAAGCUCAAAGCACUUCUUUCUUUUGGGCAAUGAUCAUAUGUCAGAAGGUAAUGAAUCGGGAACAGAAGAAGAGCAAUCGGCUUUUAUGAAGGAGCUGGAAAAUUUCUUUAGGGAGAGGAGCACGGAAUUCAAGCCUCCGAAGUUUUAUGGGGAGGGUCUGAAUUGCCUUAAGUUGUGGAGAGCAGUGACUAGAUUGGGUGGCUAUGAUAAGGUGACUUCUUGUAAGUUGUGGCGGCAAGUGGGAGAGUCUUUCAAACCCCCAAAAACAUGCACUACAGUUUCAUGGACAUUCCGAGGUUUUUAUGAGAAGGCCCUCCUUAGUUACGAAAGGCAUAAAGUACAUGGUGGUGAGCUUAAUGUACCUAUUGCUUCCCACCCAGAGCCUAUGAAUAUCGAAAAUCAGGCUUCUGGAUCGGGUAGAGCACGUAGAGAUGCUGCAGCACGUGCUAUGCAGGGUUGGCACUCACAACGUCUUCUUGGUAAUGGUGAAGUUAGUGACCCGAUUAUCAAGGAUAAGAAUUCUAUUUCAAUGCAAAAGCGGGAAAAGCAGCUGAAGAACAUUGGUUUGCUUAAACGCAAGAAACCAUCUUACAUGGAACAUACGGUCAAAGCUGCACGUACUAGGGCAUCUAAACCACAAUUGGAUUCAUCAAUCGUUGAUAUCGGGCCCGCAGCUGAUUGGGUAAAGAUCAAUGUGCAGAAAACUAAAGAUUGUUUUGAGGUCUAUGCUUUAGUUCCGGGCCUUCUUCGUGAGGAGAUUAGGUGCGAGUUCAAUCAGAUCCAUCAGGACGCCUUGUUAUAAGCGGUGAACCUGAACAUACUGACAACCCUUGGGGUGUCACACCCUUCAAAAAGGUUGUCAGCUUACCUUCAAGAAUUGACCCACAUCAGACAUCAGCUGUGGUUACCCUGCACGGACAGUUGUUUGUUCGUGUCCCAUUUGGGCAGUCAGAGUAGUGCUGUUCAAGGCUGCCUACACCCAUGCCCAAUAGUUAACUUAUUGGAAGGACGGGAAUGAAACCGUUUAGUGGGAUCUGAAGUCUCUACCCUAGUUUAUAUUGGGUAUAUCCUCUUACUACGAUUUAUAAACUCGUGUAUGUGAGUUAGGAUAUUAGCGCAGUUUUACUGUAUAUGAGUAUUGCUGUAUCAGUGCAGUUUGAUAGUGGUUGAUCAAGUUGUAUCGCCCCCUUGUAAUGGUGAUCGAGAUCAGUUUUCAAUCUGAACCCUAUGUCAAGCUCUACUUGCUUCA